CGGCGGCGGCGGGCGCCUCGAGGCCCCGAGCCGGGGUCGCUGCGGCCGCUGCCGCCGCGGCGGAGGAGUCGUCGGACAGCGAGCCGGAGCAGGAGCCGGGCUCUCCACACAAGCUCAUCCGCAAGGUCUCCACCUCCGGCCAGAUCCGCCAGAAGAGCAGUCAAGUCAGUCCCUGCAGUCCGGCAUGGGCAAGCCUAAUGCAGGAGAAGGAACCACUGCUGGAAAUGUGGCCUUGAGGGUCUCUCCAUCCAAACUGGUGGAGUGGCUCAGCCAGAUUAAGAGGAAAAGGAGGAAGACAUGGGAUGAUGUGUUUCAACAGAUCCUGCAAACCUCAGCUGCUUUGGAUACUGAACACACGUCUUGGAGGAUCACUUUUGCAGAUAGAAUGGAUAGGAAUAUAGCGGAGAGAAGAAAAGCACAGGGAAAGGAGUGUGAUGUACAGCAAGAGAUGCGAGUGCUUCUCAAGAGGCAAACAGACAUGCUGGAGACUUCAGGUUCAACAGACCUAUGCUUGCCUCCCUCCUUCAUAGCGCAGGGUUCUCAACCACUGUUGCGCCAUAAAAGUGCAUCACGGCGCAGUAGCUGAGUGUGUCGCAUGAAAGCAGCCUGCUACUGACAGCCCGAGGAAAGCUGCGGUGGCAGGCUGAUUUUACGCCACUGGCCCUUUAAGAGCUGAAGCAGCGGUGGCUCUCUGCAAGAGAAUCGGCUGUUCCGCAGUGGUGGGGACUGCUGAUCAAGCCUCCCAGCAUCGAAAAAUCCCUUCAGAGGAAGAUUUCUUCGUCCGCAGGGGCUACUGUGGCUUGACCCGCUGCUGGAACUUCAAUGGCGGGGAGAGCAACCACAGCAGGGUGUGUUGUACACAGCUGGGAGCUUGAAAACCCGUGCCAUAGAGAACUGAAUUCCAGGACUUCCUUGCACAGAUCUCUCUCCCAUUCCACUUGGCAUCUUGAGAAGUUGCAUUACCCCUAUCACUUCACCUCGGGGCAGAGGUCAGACAAUCACAGCUGCACAAAAAAUGACCUGUGAAAGAUACAGUUGGUGUGUAUGUUGGUGAAAUGAAAAUGACUCUUCUUUCCCUUUCAAAGGUUCUUUUCUCUGGAUUUAUAAAGUUUCAUUCAUAUUCAUUCAGUUAUAAACAUGUUCGAUUGCAUGGGUUUGGAAUAAAUAUCUAUGGAAACGGAAUUCAUCUUUAUUAGUUUACAACGUAUGCUGGUUGGGGCUGGCAUCCACAGAUAAUAGGUCUAGGUGCAUUUGCAAUGUUAUAGUAUUGCACACAGCACAUAUUACAAGGAUCAUACCAGGGACCAGAAGAGCAAUGUCUGUUAGAGCAUACUGCAGCAACACACAUUACGAAGGCACACUAUUAAAAUGGUCUUUCAAAGCCUCCCUGAGCCAUAUAGCUCCCCAUUGAGCUUUUAUAGCCCUGGUAUCUGUUUGCACAAUGUCAGCUGACAGCCAUGCCACCUCUGUCCUCCAUUUUGGUGGAAACUUUUC
ensembl:lncRNA